UCGGGUUGUAAAGCACUUUUGUCCGGAAAGAAAACUUCUGUCCUAAUACGGCGGGGGGAUGACGGUACCGGAAGAAUAAGCACCGGCUAACUACGUGCCAGCAGCGCGGUAAUCGUAGGGUGCGAGCGUUAAUCGGAAUUACUGGGCGUAAAGCGUGCGCAGGCGGUUCGUUAAGACAGAUGUGAAAUCCCCGGGCUUAACCUGGGAACUGCAUUUGUGACUGGCGGGCUAGAGUAUGGCAGAGGGGGGUAGAAUUCCACGUGUAGCAGUGAAAUGCGUAGAGAUGUGGAGGAAUACCGAUGGCGAAGGCAGCCCCCUGGGCCAAUACUGACGCUCAUGCACGAAAGCGUGGGGAGCAAACAGGAUUAGAUACCCUGGUAGUCCACGCCCUAAACGAUGUCAACUAGUUGUCGGGUCUUCAUUGACUUGGUAACGUAGCUAACGCGUGAAGUUGACCGCCUGGGGAGUACGGUCGCAAGAUUAAAACUCAAAGGAAUUGACGGGGACCCGCACAAGCGGUGGAUGAUGUGGAUUAAUUCGAUGCAACGCGAAAAACCUUACCUACCCUUGACAUGGACGGAGCCUGGCUG
rnacentral:rRNA from 1 species